rnacentral:rRNA from 1 species
UUGAAAGGGAAACGAUUGAAGUCAGUCGUACCGGCGGGUAAUCAGCCUUUCGGGCAUGAUUCUGUGGAGCGUGAGGAGUUAAACGCCUUCAUGCCUGCAUAUUCGUGUACUUUGGGUGUACUUGCCUGUGUGGUUAGUUAACAUCAAUUUUGGUUAUCAUAAAAUGGUUGGAGGAAUGUAGCUUCGAUUUCGAUUGAAGUGUUAUAGCCUUCGGCAGAUGUGAUGAUCGGGAUUGAGGAUUGCAACGGAUACCCUUCGGGGCUACCUGUCUGGUCUCUGAUCGUUGCUCUGGUGCCGAAAGCGUGCUUACGGUUAUCAAAGUCGAUGGUCAAUAGGUUAGAACGGGUUAAAUUCGUUAAGGAUGUUGACGUA